GACGAACGCUGGCGGCGUGCUUAACACAUGCAAGUCGAACGGAAAGGCCCUGCUUUUGUGGGGUGCUCGAGUGGCGAACGGGUGAGUAACACGUGAGUAACCUGCCCUUGACUUUGGGAUAACUUCAGGAAACUGGGGCUAAUACCGGAUAGGAGCUCCUGCUGCAUGGUGGGGGUUGGAAAGUUUCGGCGGGUGGGGAUGGACUCGCGGCUUAUCAGCUUGUUGGUGGGGUAGUGGCUUACCAAGGCUUUGACGGGUAGCCGGCCUGAGAGGGUGACCGGCCACAUUGGGACUGAGAUACGGCCCAGCCUCCUACGGGAGGCAGCAGUGGGGAAUAUUGCACAAUGGGCGGAAGCCUGAUGCAGCAACGCCGCGUGCGGGAUGACGGCCUUCGGGUUGUAAACCGCUUUCGCCUGUGACGAAGCGUGAGUGACGGUAAUGGGUAAAGAAGCACCGGCUAACUACGUG
rnacentral:rRNA from 1 species